UACGAAGGGGGCUAGCGUUGCUCGGAAUCACUGGGCGUAAAGGGCGCGUAGGCGGAUGAUUAAGUCGGAGGUGAAAGCCCAGGGCUCAACCCUGGAAUUGCCUUCGAUACUGAUCGUCUCGAGAAUGGAAGAGGUAAGUGGAAUACCGAGUGUAGAGGUGAAAUUCGUAGAUAUUCGGUGGAACACCAGUGGCGAAGGCGACUUACUGGUCCAUUUCUGACGCUGAGGCGCGAAAGCGUGGGGAUCAAACAGGAUUAGAUACCCUGGUAGUCCACGCCGUAAACGAUGAAUGCCAGCCGUUGGGGAGCUUGCUCUUCAGUGGCGCAGCUAACGCUUUAAGCAUUCCGCCUGGGGAGUACGGUCGCAAGAUUA
rnacentral:rRNA from 1 species